CCAAUGCUCCACAGGGCCAUAGUUCACACCUAACAUAACAGGAGCAACGCUGCGAGAACACACACACGCAGGGUGGUGAGGCGGUGGUACAGAAACUCUGACCUCCUCACCAUCUCUGUGCGCAAAAACAAAACGCUCUGAGCGUCUCUUUACGAGCCGGCUGCGGGGAGUAAACCUGCAAAUCUGAUCAGACGAUGGAAGCCUGAGGAGCGGGUCAUUCGGCUAACGCGAGGGGAAAAUUGUGACUCGCGUGAGAACUGUUUGCAGAGCCUGCUGACCGGGGUGUGGAGAGGCCGGGUCACUGGGCGACCACACCUGGACCCUUCAGCUGGUGGAAAAGCGUUUCUUCAGUGACUCAGAGGUGACUGGAGACAAAUCCAGACAAGAGAACGGCAGCAACGGGCAGGUCAGAAAUAGCAGAGAGGCCAGAUGGUGACAUAUAAGGAAGGCACAUCUGAUUUUCCUAAAGUUAUAUUAGAAGGGACACUUGCUCUAUGUGCGACAUUUACUGUACUUUAGGUUGCAUUUACACAGUAUUAGUCCUACAUAACUAAGCCACAAGGUCACAGUGUGGAUUAUGGAAUAAACAAAAACUAAAGUAUAAAACCCUGGAAAACAAUUUAACUUGUUUAUCUUUCCUCAUGUUAUAACUGGAAACAUCGGUUUAAUUUAUCUGGGAUUUUUUUUAUAUAGACCAAGAUUCUUACUUGUGGCUCCAGGCCCGCAAGAGGCUCUUUGGACCUUCCACAAUGGCUCCUAAUAACUUUGGCAAAACUAAUAAAGAACCAACUAAUGUAUUUAAAAAUCUAUAUAUAUAAUAAAACUUCCGGUUUUAGCCGCUUUUCAUAUUUUUCUGAUGGAAUAAUUGGAUUAAAUAUACACAUAAAAAGGACUCCAAUAAACCCGUAAUAUUUUUCAGGUCUUUUUUUGUCAUUAGGUUGGAAGCUGCUUUUUCACAUUCAGCUUCAUAGGCCAAGCGCUCACAGCGCACAGAGAUACACAGAGACUCGGUAUAAAUACAUAAAUAUUUUUCUACAAGUCCCAAAGAAAGAAAAUGUGUCCACUCACUUUACUGCAAAACAUGUGGCAUCUUUCUUUCAUUUAAAACCUAAAAAUAGAAAUGAAAUGAUGGUCCUGUAAACACGAGAAUACAAAGUAUUUUUUAUGUUUUUCAAAAGAUCAUGUAACCAGUUUUCCUUCGCUGGACUGAAGGCAAAAAUGGCUCUUUAGAUUACAAAGGUUGCACAGCCCUGAUAUGAAGAGGAACAGAAAAGAUGUUCUGUUUUCUUGUUUUGCAAAUUAAAAUCUCAAAAGUGUGGCAUGCCUCUGUGUCAGCUAAAACUAAAAAUCCUCUUUGCAGAGGUAGCUCAAACUCAGUCAGAUUGGCUGGAAAGCAUCUGUGAACUGGAUUUUUCAAGUCUUGCUGCAGAUUUUGUCGGAAUCUGCACUUAACGUGCCAUAAUGUGAAAAAAAAAAAGCAGAAAAAAAAGACUAAGGGUUGUGAAUAUUUUGUUGUGCCGAGCACAAACGUGAACCUGUGGAGCUGCUUCUGCAUACAGUACACUGCGGCUCUGUAUUGUUCCUAUGAGGCAUGUCACAUACACUACUGUAUGCUGCUCGAAUAACCACAUGGGUUACAGUACAAUGUACCUGGCAAAAGCCACAACAUGCUCCACAUCUUCUGCCCUCACAACUGCUCCUGCUGCUGCUUCACACGUCAGACGACAACAGAUGGGUAACAAGAUCAGGCACCCAUUAUUUUGCGAAGACGGUUGGAGCGAGACACAACCAAAACCCAGUUAAAAUACGGGAACGCGAGCAUCUGCUGAUUUCCUUUCGCAUCUGCUCAACGUAAAGUGAAGCUGCAGUCUUGAGUUUACGUGCCGCAGACGUUGUGGUUAGAAAGUCAGCAAGCAAAAGCAAAGUGAAAGUGCUUGGUGUCUGCGUGUCGGUGUGCACUCAGAACAGCCAGAUUUAAACAAGAUUAUAUUUGAAAAAUACAGCUAAAUAUUCAGACGCAGGAGCCACGCCUCUACUCGUUGCAUCUGGACCAUUGCGUUACUGUAAGAGGAAGAUGUCUCAGCUUUCAGACCGGAGCCGAGUCCUUCCCUCCCCACGUCUUCACAAUGCAGCUCACACUUACUGCUCCCUCAGAGCGACUUGUUCCUUCAGAGCAAAAGAUGCUGAUGGGGAACAAUGUGCCCGUUUUCACCGAGGUAUGACUGAUACAAAGCUGGGGCCCGGAUGUCUGCCCAGCUGCUUUCUGAGUCAGGUCCUGUCUGGGGUGACUCGCCUCCAAAACACACACAAACACACACACAACAUCAGGGAGAGACGUUAUGGAGGAUCUUGGGUCUUUCUGUUGGACACUGCUGGUUAAGAGUCUGAGGUCACGUUGUGUUUCCCCUGACAAAUUAGCCGUUCUAAAAAGGAAUCAGUGUCACACUGUUACCUAAAAACGACAUGUAGGUCAUUUGUCAUCCGCUCAUCAUUUGCUGGAAACUUGGCCUGAAUGUUCGCAGGACUAAUCUGAUGAGGGAGCAGCUUGUGUGUACACAAAAAAAAAAGAGAGAGAGAUACAAGGAUAGGUAUGGAUCAUUAUGAGAUUCUCAGCGUAGAAUAAUAUGGAGUCAAAAUACUGCAAUUACUCAGAAAAUUAACAUGAAUGUUUGACAAGAGCUGGAUGCUUUCACUUAUAAUGUAUAAGAAUUCCUCUUAUUCCUGCUGAAACAACAUAUUAGUUUCUGCACCUAUAAUAAUUGUACGUUUACGUUUAUUUAAAAUGUGCCUGGUCACAUAAUAGCAAAACUUAUAUGUUUCACUAAGCAGCACAACCUAAUUCAGAGACGGCAGACGUAAACAUUUAAUUCCUUUUAUACGUUCAAAAAGGCGUGCAGUGAAGCAGCCACUCAUUAAAUUUCACCCCUUCAAGUUAAACUGUAGUUGUAUCUGUAUAAUAUAAAAUAAUGUAACAAUUUUAGUUCUAACAGAAGAAAUGAAAAUGAAGCCAUGUCACAAAAACAAAAGUAUAAAUUAAAACAAAAACUCUUAACUACCAUUACAGCUCCUCCAAUCUGAAGGUUUUGCUCGUCAUCUUUGCUUUUUACUGACACACCACAUGUUGCAGUGCAAUUCUGAGAUUAUAGCGAGUCAUUUUCAGGCUGUUUUUUUGUAUUAAAAAAUCACAAACUUUUAAAAAUAAAAAGCCAAGUAGCUUUGACAUAAAUCCGCUUUUCACCUAGCGGCUAAACCAUGCGGUAUUUUCUGGCACUUUGAUUUUUUUUUUGGGUCACAGAUUCUAGUUAUUGGUCACAAAGAUUCAAACACAAUAAUUCACAGCUUUUUACACAAAUUGUUGCUGCUUGCAUAAUAUAUUGCACAAUUUAAAUAAGAAGUGCACUAUAUAAGGUCUGUAUCUGAUUAAAAUGCAUAUUUUAAAAUGUUCUUGAAUUAAAUCAUACUGAUAACCGGGACAACCAACCCGCUUAGAGCAUUUGAUUUUUACUUACUGUUUGCUACAACUAAAAUGAAAAUCACACCAAAUUAUAAGCUUUAAUUUAAUUGUACUGCAGACAUGCUUUGACAUCAGUUUAACCCAUUUGUCAGCAGAAACCUCCUUCUAGUUGUUCUCACUUAAAAAUCCCUCAGAGUGUACGGCCCCUCUGGAUCACAGAAUAACAUCUUGAACAACUGAACUACAUAAAAGUGACCCUCAUCAUAAAAUGUCAGCCAUCUAGGAACCAAGAUUUCUGAAUUAUUUGUCAUGGAGAUGUUCACUUUCUUUUUUUUUCUUUUUUUUUUUUUUUUGCUGUAACAAGCUUUUAAUAAAGAUCAAACUCCUUGCACAAGUUCCACUAGUGACAUUAGGCACAAUCUUAAUAUCUGUUAAUUGUAUUUUUUUUCCCUCUUUUAUGUUUUGAAUAAAAUUUCUCUUCAGAGAUGUUUGCUUGUGUGAUACACACACUUGUACAAACAUGUCUUGUCCCUGAUGUUGCUCACUAAUUCCUUUGUGAUUCUUGUGCUUCCUGUGAUUCAUUUUUUCAGCACACUUAAAAAAAAAGUAGAAAAUAAAUAAAAAAUAUAUAUCCUGCAGCAGAUAUAAACAGUUUGUCACUCAGUUGAGUUUUAAUUACAGGAAAUAUAUCCCAUGCAAUAUCAUCUUUAAUGGCUGCCGUUCGACCUUUCGGCCCGCAGGUAAACCUCCCACUGCUUCCCUGUGUCAGAGACUCAAAGGUCUGAGGCAGGGGUCUGCAGCCUGCGGCUCCAGAGCCGCCAGUGAUUCUUUGAACUUUCCACUAUGGCUCUUAAUAACUUUGAAAUUUUUCUGUUCUUCUUUUUAAAUCAGCGAUUAGAUUAGAAGCCAUGUCUUUCUUUUAGUAUUUUGUCACAUCAUUUUGGAUAAACAUCAAUAUUCCACGGAAGAAAAUGCAAACAUUCUUUUUUGCUUUGUUUUUGCUAAAGUUUCUACUAAAAUAAAGUAUUAUUUUAAAACCUAAUAUUUACAAGCAAUUGUAAGUUGUUGUGUUUUUUUUGUUUUCUCAAAAUGCCAUGUAACAUUUGUGGGUCUGAGCAAAUUUCAUUUAGCAGGACAGACGUCUGAUCAGAAGCUGAAGUGGACAUGACGGGAAAAUGGACGCCCCUGCUGAUCCCUGCAUUAAACGUAACGACGGCGUAACAGAGUCUGUUGGCCUUCCGACGCUGCGACCGUGGUGUCCAUCAUCUUAUUGGCGGUGGUUUUUGUUAGCGGUGGAAGGACUGAUCAACGCCAUCUUUGUCAGGGCGCUUUUUAGUGACAAAAUUUCUCCCUUUCUGCAGAUGUAACGAGCAGGAAGACUUUACUCGUGAAAACAGGAGUGUAAGUGCAAAUACACAAUUUUCAGUUAUAAGUUUUUCUAUUCUAUAAAAGAAACUGACUGAUUAAGACGACUAAUAGCCCCAGGUUAAUGUGGGGAAGGAGAGAAAGCCAAAAAAAAAAAUCCCUUCAUGGUAGGUGAUUUUUAGAUUUCUGAGUUGCUUCUAUUGAAGACAGUCACACAUUCACUUUGAAACUAUACGAACCUUGUUUCUAUAUGAGCUAGGAGUGUGUGUGUGUGUGUGUGUGUUUAAGAUGGGUGAAUAUGUCAGUGGAAACAAGUUGUAACAGACGUUUUCUUUCUCCCCUCACACACCACCAGUUCAGUACGUGUACACAAAUAAUAGAACCAGUGUGAAUACCCAGAACAGUGUGAUUUGCAUGGCCCUCUGCAAUUUCAGUUCUCUACUUAUACAUUAAUACAUGAGCAUAAUGGGAAACAGGAAAUGAGAGGCAAGAUCAAAAGAAGAUAUAAUUAUCCACAAACGUCUUCUACAGCUUGUGUGAUUAAAACUGUAUUCUCCUCUUUAGAUUUAAGUUGCUUUCUGCUGGUUUAACCUCUAGACAUACCAAUUUCAGUUGCAAAAAUAUUUUUUUGCAUGAUAAAUAAAAAAAAAAUAUUCUUAUCCUUUUGCAGAACAACAAAAAGAUAAGGAGAAUGAGUGAGCCUUAAAGUGUGUGUAGGAGCUUACACUGUUUGUCAAAUCUUAAUGGAUCUUUUCAUUUAGAUUUCAGCAGUUUUCGCUUUAAGCAGCACAGAUCAUUUUCUAAUUGAAGACAAGAAAAAAAAAUAAUAAUAAGUUGAAAUGAUCCACUCAUUACUUUCCUUGAACUUUGGUCUCUGACCUCAACAUUUAAAUUGCACAUAAUGUAAAAACUGCAAUGAUUCAGUUCUAGUGCUAAAUCAAAGAGUCUACACCUACUCCCAGCAGGGUCCCUUCUAAAAACAAGACCAGAACGAGGUCAUGUCCCACUGCUGAUCAAAAGCCGCACCAAAGAUAAGAAAAAUAACUGAAAUCACCUACAACAACUUUUUUUUAUCAAACACUUUCUGCAACUGUACCCCACUAUCAUCGCACGUCACGUUAGUUUGGUUCCUCAGGAUCGGAUGAAACAGCUGCACGACAAUGUGAGACUUCAGCUUUUGUUAUCCGUUCAAAAUGAAUCAUUGUAACCGUUAAAAAAGUCCCAAAAAAAAAAAAGAAAGAAAAGGUUUUUUUCUCCUGCGUCAGUCUGCAUCAGGCACAGAAAAAUACGUGAGCUGUUGGAGAUAAUUGUCUGACUUGAUGACGGCAAUUCAAAUUAUUGAUGAAUGUUUUCUUUUCAUGCGUAAUUUUCUACACUUACUAUUAAAAUCCCCCCCCCCCGGGACCACUAUGCAUUCAGAAGGGUUGCAUCAAGUGAUUAUUUUAGUUAUUACUCUAUUGAUUAAUCGAAUAAGAAAUUGGCACACCUUGCAGAUUUUUAAUUUAACCCUUUUCAUACACAAAUAAUUUAAUUCCUUUUAUAGAUAAUAAAAUGCACAUUUUAUUGCCCAACAUGCCGCGACGUCGCGUUUCUUUAGUGUGCUUGAUCAUUUGUAGCAAAGGAUGCAUCUGUGGAAAGCUGAGCCUUUCUGUUUGACUAAACAUCAACAGUGCAGGAAUAAUCUGUUGAUUCAUUUUUGUAUUAAUAACCAACUGGGGAUUAAUAAUAGGAGAAUUUCUUUAACAGAAAUCAAAUCAGGUGAAGCCAAAACUGCCACUUGAGUUCUGGGUAAAACAUAUUUAACCUUUUUAUCUUAAAAGUAUUGUGUAUAGUUUUGGCCUGAUUACCGCUUUGAGUAUAUUAUUCCUUCAGCAAAUGGCCUUCUUCAUAGUCUGUAUAACCCAGUUAACAAUUAAUUGAUUACUAAAUUAGUUGGCGAUUAUUUCAACAAUCGUUUAAUCCGAUUUGCGUUUCAGCUAAAGUGUUCAGUACAGUCCACAGGUGUAAAUGUGCGUCAUGGUGUCAUGCUUUGGUUAUGAACCGUAAACAUUGACUUUAGUAACAAAUUAGGCAGGUUCUAAAAGUUUUUCAAUGAUUUCAAAAGCAGAGGUGGUUUAACCAAUGGGAUUACUGAAAGCUAGGUGAAGUAUUCCCUGAAUUCACUCUAUAAAGUCAGACAGAUUGUCUGUCUGCUACAUUUUCCUCUGAAUGAACAGAUAAAACUUUUAGAUCAGCAUUUGGGCCGCCUGAUUGAAUAUUUGUCCAGCCUGUUUUAGAGACGUUAAGCUGCAUAGAUAAUGCUAAACAUUUUAAACAAGACAAACUCUGUAAUAAUAUAUACGGGUAUUAAAUCUAAUUUUCACGCCGUGUUACAUGGAAACUCUAUUUAAAACACUCUAAAUAAAUAGUGUGAACUGAAACGGACCUAAUUUCUUCUGUACUGAUGAUUAAAAUGAGAUCUUUUAUUCCUUUACAGCUCAUUAUACAUCAGAAACACUCUGAAUAUUAUAUUGCUAAAUGCAUACAAAUAAAAGAGCUUCAUUUGACUUAUUUUUGUUAUACAUUAAUUUUCCACUUGCUUAAAUUUUUAGCAUUUUAUAAACUGACAUCUCCCUCAGAUUUAGGUUGAAAGAAAUCAUUGAACUAGCAAAAUAUUUCUUCAAAUUGGAAGAAACAUUUUUGAGUGACUCUGUUGGAAACUAAUGGAGAAUCUGUGGAGGUAGUUAAGAUUAGGGUGAUGGAAAGGAGGCUUUCCAACAUCAGAGACAUAUCACCAAAAUAGAAGUGGAAGAAAAAAAGCUGAAGGUUUGAUUGUUGUAACACCAAGUAACAUUUUUCUUCCACAAUCUUGCUUAAAGUGUAUAGAUAUUUUUUCCACAUGUUGUUUUUAAAUAAUGUGUAAAUUCACAUGGAUAAAUCUUUCUUUUUUCUUUUCAAAACUAUUUUCACUCAGUUCUUUCUAAAUGUAAAUAGAUUUGUCCUUUUUUCACCCACCUCUGGGUUGAUAAUUUGAAAUCUAAAUUAUCCAAAUUUCUGGCCUCCUAGGGGAUCUUCACAUCCCUCCACAGGAUCUCCACCAGAUUCAAGUCAGAAAUCUGUCUGGGUCACUCAAAAUAGUUAUUAUUCCUUCCAAUCAGAAGAAACGUGUUUGUAAAAUUAAAGGAUUAUGCUGGAUCUAAAUCUGUCGGUGGUAACAGAAAAAUGAAGUCCUUUUAUUUGCACGCAUUUAGAAAUUGAAUAUUCAGAAGGUUUGCGAAGUCAGUAAUGAGAAUAAGAAGGAAAAUAAUCUGUUUCUGUUGGUGCAAUUUCUUGAAAGUGUUUUUUAUUAUAAAUGUGACAUGGAUAUCAAUUGUAUUUAACUGUAAAUGUAGGAAAAUCAAACUUUUAGAUUAAUUAAGUAAUAGAAAGAUGUUUUAAAAUUUAGUGAGUUUCUACGCGUUUAGGCCUCAGGUUGUAAGAUUACUCACUUUUAAAGCUCUUGUUACACUGAAGGUGAUAGGAACUAAACGUCUCCGAAAGAUUAAAGUUUUUGUGUGGAUGUUUUUGUCAAUGCAUAAAUGUUUUAACUUUGCAUUUUUAUAGAUUUUAAUUUGCACAGUUGUGACAGUGUGUGAAACAUGAUGUACAUACAGAUUUCCUUGAUUUAUUUUUUAAUUCUGACAGAUUUCUAACAAAGAAACUAAAGAAGUAAUAGAAAAGCAACAUUUGCAUUAAAAACUACUUCACUAAAGCAUUGAGCUGUUACUUCUUGGAGGAGAAAAAAAAGUCUUAGAAUUCUGUUAUAGAUUGCUUUAAUAAAACAAAACAAUGUUCCAGGUAAAUGGUGUUUUUUUUUUGGUGCUGAAUGAAGACGAUGGAAACUCAAAGCAGCUCUUUUGGGAUCCAAAAGGCAGAAAAGACGACUUGUUUUAACUUGUCUAAACUUAUAAUUAAAGACGUGGAUUUGGCCUCGACUUGGAACUGCCGUGCAAAGAUUCGCAGCUCAUCACUGGUACCCACCUCUGGCAUGGCAGUUCACACCAGCGCACCUCCUCACGCCCCAGUAACGAGAGCGACCCGCUGGGACCCCCUGAAGCGGACGGCCUCCCUCGUGCUGCAGGAGCAGCGGCCCAGUGCGCCGGUAACGGACUCCUGCCUUGGAGACACACUCACAUGGCAAUAGGACCAUCCUGGCUCAACACAUCAGUCUGUGCUGGUUAAGCUUUUGAGGUUUGGAUUCUCCCUGUCUGCUUUCACCACCAGAGCAUGACAGAGAGACGCCAUGCAACAUGUGGAGAUGGGCCGACUCAAUCAAUUAGAUGGAUUUAAAGCGAGGGUCACUGUGAAGAUGAAACCAUUGCUGUGAUUAGUUAUACGAUUUCAGUUCGUUUUUUUUCCCUCUCUGUGACAUUUGUAGGAACUCGCAUCAGUCCCUGAUUUUAUCGAUGAAUCAAAAUGUUUGGAUUUUGACAAUUUAAUUAUUGGAAAGUUGUGAUUCUCCAAAACAAAUCCUGAUUUUGGCACUUCUUGGGUUUUCAUAGUUCCGAGUGAUGUCACAACGCCCACGGCGGCCAUGUUGUUUGACAACUGUGCGUAACUGUUUAUUUGGACUUUGAAUUAAGGUCAGCUCUGCGACCAAGAAGUAGGGCCAGACUAAGAUUGUUUUGUAUUGUUUUCUCACUACGUGAAUAAAGUCCUAUUUUUAAAUUCAA